GUCGUAUUUUCUAAGUUGGUUUAUGUGACAUGUUUAUUUGCGGGAUUGUUAUAGUUCAUGAAAGAUUAUUUCUGUGCGCAGCAUAUAUUAUGCACUUGUUGAGACUUGGCGGUAAACUGCCGUUUCAUUUAUUGAAACUCCGAAAAAUCCAAGUUGCUGCUGCUCUAUGAAUUUAUGCCAUUCUACGUCAAAAUACUAAUUGGUAAAAUGCCAUAUCUCCAAUCGUGAACUGGAAAUGCCAUUAUUCCUGCUAUUAUAAAAGAGGAAAACGAAAUCGCUCUCAAGAUUUCUUCAGACUUCCAACAAUCGUUACGAAAAAGUAAUUGUAGAUGGAAGUGGCGAUUCAUCCUUGAAAUGUUCAAAUAUUCUGACAGCAACUGGGAGUGUAAUGUUUGAAAGAUUCCUGAGAAAAACGAAUUUCUUUGUGAACAUAAAGAACAAGACUUGAUCUGUGUGCCUUAAUCUCGAUGAAGUCGUGCUUCUUGCCAAUUCUUCAAUGUUCCGAAGUCUACAGUCACAAAGUUGGAUGGUAAAGUUGGAUACUGAAAUAUUACUAUAUGCUUAGACUUGAUACUGGGGCACAGUAUGUUGCUUGUUUUGCAUGAUUAAUGAAAUGAAUUCAUUUUCUGUUAAAGUUUUAGUGAUCAGUUUUAUUUCGUUAUUCGAGCUGUACACUUUAAAAUUAAACUUAACUAAGCAGGCUAUGAAUAGUUCAGUACCAUUAUGCAAGGGAACUUCAAUGCACCUAGAGCUAACGCUUUCGAAUUAGUGUCUUUAAUUUUAAGAUGUAUCUAAUGAAACGGAUGAGAAUGUCGCUAACUAUACACUCCUUAUACUAGUUGCAAGUUACUGUCGAUAUAUGCCCAAGCGUCAUGUUCGGUUCCGGGUCAAAAUUGAUAUCGAUCAGUUCAAGCUUGAUUCCCAUUUCUUGAUAAAUGUGUAUUAAAACUUUAAAUGGCUCGUCUUUUGACUAUCCGUUUCCCUAACAAUUGUACUGCCGCCAUAAUGCUAGUCAUUCCCAUCGUAGAUCUACAGAACGUUUCUUCCGACGUUCAAGUUAUGUGCAACUAUUUUGGUCCUACCACAUUUUUGGUACAAUUGCUGAAAUGACCAGGAUAAUAUACAGAGUGGUAUCCCGGGUAAUGAUCGUCGCUUUCUGGGAUUUUGUAAAUUUCUGAAGAAUCGUAUCGCUUCUUUGAUCCAACAAGAUUGACUCUAAAUUCAAUAGUCGCUGUACUUCAAAAAAAAAAACCUAGUGAACCAAAUUUUCUUGUUCCCUGUACUUAGAUGGCAAGGGAGGUUCAAUCAAUAUUUUAAACGAUUUUUACAAUAUUCACUAGGAAUGAGUCUUCCUACUUAAGGUUUUAUUCCAAUUCUUAAAAUAAAUCAUGUAAUUGCUUUGUGAAUUCAAGUCAUUGAAAAAAAAUGUUAAUAAAUUCUUAAAUAUAAAGCGUCUAAUCAGAAAGCAUCUAUCAAAUAUGCCCACCGAAAUCGAUUCGUAUUAAGAACUUCCACGGCCAUAAGGCAUUAAAUUUAAAGUCGCAGCUUCCUAAUAUCUUUUCUUAACACGAAAACUUAAACCUUAAACCUUAAACCUUAAGUUGUUUAACAAAACAUGAAAUGUAUUGAUAGUUUUUGAAUUAAAAUUCUCCAAGGAAAGUAACUUCAAAUUGUUAAGUUGUACCCAAUCCCUAAACUUAAAAGAUCCUUUAGAUUUAGCUGGCAUGGGUUUUAAUUAGAUAGUUGCAGAUGCCAAUGUCUUCAGUGAAAGUUGCACUUAACGGGUUCAUUAUGGUUAGUUGAAACAAUCAAAUAAGGCUUAGAGAAUGGGUCGAUUAGAAUGGAAAUAACACGUUAAUAUUCUGGUCCCUGUUUACUUUCCGUCUAGGCUGUUUGGGACCGACGGUCUAAACGGAAAGUAACGGUCCCCAGGGAACUAGUACUUAACGUGUUAAUGACGGAUAGGGUUAGAAGUAGUCUUAAAAAUAGAGAAUUGUAGUUAAGGGAUUUAUAAAUUAAUGUAUUAAGUGGAUUAAUUAACGAGUUAAAUUAAAAAUUAAACUUAAAUUAAUGUAUUAAGGAUCAGAGGGACUUGUAAAUGUGUUAAGUGGGAUUUCAAAUGUCUUAAUGACUGGACACUAGUAUUACAAGGGACAAGAGUUUGAACCUCUGAAGUGUAAUUUUUACUUUAAAUAUUGGCAAUGGUAAGUAGAAAUUAAAGUGACGGUAAAUCAAUGCAAUUUCCUGAAAAUGAAUUGUUUAAUGAUUGGAGGAAAAAACAAGCGAAAUAGAAAACUUGAAAUUUAAAAUUUUAACACUUCCGUUAUUUCUGUCAACAUUUCACGUAGCUUAAAGUCAUGAUCAGAAUUUCUUUUAAAGGUUUUAAAUUGUAGGUGACGAAUCUAAUUAGGAAUGACGCAUUACAAUUUGUAGGAAGCUUGCAAUAUUUACACGUUUGUUAGAGUUGAUGUUGGGUAAAAUUUUUGAAGUAACUAGAAUUUUAUUAAUAGUUUAAGAUUCUAACUUGCAUGGAUACCACUCCUCCUAUACUCCUUUAGUCGUCAUGUAAUUAUUUCUGAAGUUACUGAAUAUUUUGGCAAAAUUUAACUACGAAAUAAAUUACCAUUAAAGGAUUUGAGCACAAUUUAGAAAGUGGAACUCUUGUAGGUUUAUACUUUGAUGUAUUUACAACUCCUAAUUCGUGAACCUGUAGGUUCUAAUUGCUUCAGGCAUUAUAUUUUGCAUCACUGUUGAGCUUUUAUGACGCAUUGUUUACGUUUUCAGACAAUUGCACUUUGGGAACACUCCACGUUCGAUUUUAUAAGUUAAUACAAGUAUUUUAAUUCCAAGAAUGGCGCAACUUAGCCGAAGAUGGCUUUGUACCAUAAAGCACAAACUCUUAGUUCAUCUUUAAUUGCAGCCAAUCUAAUUCUUAAAUUCCUAUCCGUUUCAUUUGAAUGUAAAGAUUCCGUUAAGUGACUUUAAUUUACUACCGUUUUGAUAAGAUUUGGUUCAAAUUAAAUUGUAAUAAUUUAGACGUCCAAAUUGGAAUUUUUUAAUGUGCCUUCUAAAGAAUAACUUCUCAAUCUAAAUCGCAUAAUGUACAGCGGUAGUUCACAUGUCUACAUCAAUAGUGCAAACAUUUUCUUUUAGAGCUAUAAUUGAAAAACGGGCAAGGAUUCAGUUUUUAUUGAAUUUUGAAGUUCCCUUGCAAUUUUAAUAUUAAACGAAUGAAUUUUUGUAAACUUAAAAUUGAUUUAAAAAUCUAAACUUUUAUUCAUUUAAGGCUUUGAAACUGUUAUUUACUUGUACUCUAAUGAAGGAUGGCUGGAUUGCAACACUAUUCAUCUGGUUAUAAAGAUGUUUAAAGCUGCCUCGAAACGCUAUUAAUUGUCACCUUGUAACUGGAAUAUUUUCUGUGUUAAUUCUGAUUACUUAUUAAAAUUAGCGAAUCCAUAUUCUGGCUGGAUGGUGUAUAGUUAAAUCGAUCGAGUGAAAUAUUUCUAUACUUAAUCGUGAAUAUCUUUAAUAAAAAUGGCUGUAAAAUAUAAUUUAAAACAAUUACGUAGCAAAGGCUUCAAAUUUGAUUUCGCGCUUCUAGUUGCUUAAUCUUAAAUUAAGCUUUUUCACCAAGCUAUUCUAGAUAAAAUAUAAAUAUUUCUAUGUAUUUAAAAUUUUAAGUUAAUUAAAAUAUCAAGAUUGAUAUAAUUAACUUGUUUAUAAGAAAAGCUGAUACUUUAAAACUGAAAUCCUUUCAAAUGGAAUUUAAAAUUGGAUUUUGAUGGCAAAAGAAGUCUCGAACAUCAACUUUGCAAAGACGGAUAUGCAACUAUUUCAUGUAGAGGUAAAUGAUUCCUCAUUGAAAUUCUUAAACCGAAAAUGUCUGAAAACUUGAAAUUUAAAAUCCGUCUAGCUGAAGCAAUUUUUAAUUUUGUGUAUUUUACUCCUGUAUUUAAAAAUCGUUAGAUUAGUUUCGCCAAAUUUUGUGGAUCCCGACAUAAACGUUACGUAUAAAUGGAUUUUAAUAGUAUUAAAUAUUCUGCAUCGCUUUGAACAAUAAACAAGGAAACUGACAGUUUCGAAAACUGCAUUUAAUUUCAAUUUAAUUUUGAAGUAAUUUCACCCUUGCAUUAACUUAAUGUCAUAACCGCCAAAAUUUAAAGCUACAUAAUUUAAUUGAUCUACCUAUUGCAAUCGUCUUGACUAAUGAAUGUUUUUUUAAAAUCUGUAGGUUUAAAAAUGUAUUUAAUUUCGAAUCUGUAAAAUGAUCCGCCACUCUUAAAGAAAUUUCAACUCUUCAACAUCAAUAGUUCCCAUCUAAAAUGCGUGAACCAGACAAGUCCGUUAUCCCUUUAUCUGAAUUCGUCCAAUUUGGAUAUAAUACAAAAUUCGGGAAUUUUUGAUAACUUUAAAGCACAAGAUCUUGCAAUUUUCCGUCGCAUGAUUAAAAUUUAAAGCAAUUGAAUACAAAUCAAUACGAUUAAGGUAGCACUUCCUUUCAGCUGAAGGUCCAAAGCUGUGCCGGCAAGCUAAUGGACAGUCUUCUGCUUCUAAACAAGCGUUUUGAUCGUGAUGCCUGGCCAACAUCGGAUCAAAACGUACCAAAUAAAAUGAAUUGUUGGUAUAGUUCGUUUAGUAUAAGCUUGCAGUAAUUUUAAAUUUUUCGAAAUAUUUUCCUAAUCUUGCAGUGUAAAAUUAGGAAAGCAUUGGAAUUCUUAUUUCGGCAAGUUAGAAUAUCAAUCGCAAUGUCCCUGCCCUCUUUAAAUUCGAAACGGAUUAAAUACUAAAUCGGUUAUUACAGCACUUUAACGUUUACAUAACUUUCUAAUAUCUACUAGAUUGUCAGUGACGGAACUUGUCUGGAGCGCAUUUGAGAUUGAACCCUUAAAAGUAUUCAACUUUUCAUGCGCAUUUGUUGGAUUGCUCAUUCAUUACCCCCCUCCCCCCCCAUAAUGUGCAUUAGGUCUAAAAAGGUUUUUGCUGCUUGUGCAUUACUAAGAUACGAUUUAUUUGUUUUGAACUUUAAACCUUUUGCAGUCUGACAGGUUUUUCAAAUUUUUUAAUUGGUAAGUGAAUUAGUGUCGACUGACGCAAUAAUCUUUUCUUUGAGUAAGGUACUAAAGGUUUUAACCACAUUUAAGUCGGCAUAAAUGUUAAUCUGAAUCAUUAACUUCUGAUGUAGCGAAGUAUUAACUUGAAAUUUGAGCAAAGCUAGAUAAAACAUUUGGACCUGAGAGAAACGAAUUAGAUGCGGUGAGUAAACACUUCUCAUUUGGAUUUAAAUUGAAAUUAAAACGAAAAUGGCAGAUACAAGCUUCUACGAUCUUGGACGCCAAGUAAAACUGUGGAAUUGCAUUAAACCUUAAAGAAAUAUAUGCAGGGUAGUAAUCUUUGUUAUAUUUAUGUAUAGUUGGUUUUGUGAAAUUGUUUCGGUAUCGUUCAUAAACUAUAAACUGCUAAAUAUUUAUUCGAUAAUUCUUCAGAAAUCUUAAUGGCAUUCAAUUUAAAAAUUUCAUUUUUUAUGAUUGAUCUAGGAUUUCAAUUGCUCAGAUUUGCCGACUUCAGGUUAGGAAAAGAUUGUCAGCGACUGUGCUAGCCGGUUAACUGACAAUCCUCUAAAUUCCUCAACACUUUUGAACUCGAUGCCUGAUCACCAUCGUAGUCAAAAUGUUCUGGAAUUUGAAUGUUCACUGUGUAGGUAGGAGCCGAGUCCGGCAGGAAACGUUGCAUUGGCAAGGCGAAUGUGGCACAACUUCCAUAAAUGUAACCGUCGUCUUAUUGUUGCAUUUUGGGUAUUGCACUAAAAGCAUUUAACAGCACUUAACCGAAAAUGUAGUUUCCUCGGCGAUUUAAGCCUCGCGUUAGCAAUUCCAUAAGUUUUGCUGGUGUCUAAGAAUCGGAAUCAAACUAUAAAAUGAAUUGAGCAUUAUCGAAGUAAUUAGUGAAUUUUAUACUAACUGUAAAUUUCGGAUGUUCCCUUUAAUACAAAAACUGUGCAUCGUGGCCUUCUAUGAAACUUCGCUCUUUUAAAAUAUGGUAUCCGUUCCCUUAAAUUUUAAUUUCAGCAGAUGAAUACAGCAGUGAGAAUUGCGAUUAAAAAAAAAUAUUCCAUAUUUCGCUUUCAUGAAUGCGCCUUUCAAUGUUUCGGAUUUAAAAGUAAAAAUUAGAUUAAAGCGUUCGAUCUAAAGAUUCGUCGGCACUCCCUUGAGCUUGUUUUCCGACCGCAUUCUUUACUUCCCACCCGAUUUUCUCUGCCAUCUCAUAGAAGUCAACAAUGAACUUUACCGAAAUUGGCACUAAAGCUUCAGAAAGUCGGUUUAAAAUCGCGUUUAUGCACAGAGUAUAAAACAGUUUUGACGCCAAAAUAAGUUCCCUUCAAUAAAAAUAAUUUGCUAUUUUGCUUCCAAUGCGCCACAAUAGUAUAUUUAAAGGUGAACUGGCAAUUAAAUGUCUGAAAUUCGAAAUCUUACAAUCAAAUUUCCGCAUUUAUAGAAAGCAAAACAUUGAAUCCUUCUAAAUCAAUUGGCCCGUCAAAUAAGCCUAGAUGACGCUUCUAAUGACGCUGCAUUCAUUCUGUUCGAGAAAUCUUUUGUAAUAGUAAAAAACAAUUUCAGCAACUUAAGAAUAGAUAAGAGUAAGUCAAGUUUUUAUUUAAAAAAUGCAUCAUCCAGCCUACUUUUAAUUAUUUAACUUCAAAAUUUUUGAUUACAGUAUUCUAAAACUUGAUUUCCCCAGAAACUUCUUUCCUCCGAGUGGUAAUGUUUUAACUCGAUUAAAUCGGCCAUUCAGCUCGUGAGUGUAACUGCUUAAAAAUUAAAUAUGCUCGCAUUCUUUGAAGAGUGUAAUCGCAACGGAAGCUUUUAAAUUUGUGGGAUAGUUUUAACAACGUAGUUUAAUUCUAAUGCAUUUCUUUAAACUACAUUCAACGAAUGUUCCAAUGUAACAAAUUCCGUGAAUCUAAAGUACUUAAAAUGUCUUUAAAUUCCGUAGUAUUGUUAAAAAAAAGCGGAAGCUGUUUGAAUAUUUAAAGACAAAGGCAAGCAACUUAAAUCGUUGCUCAAUGAAUAUAAAAUCGCAUCUUGCAAAUAUUGGCAUUUUUCUUCUCAAAUAGCAUUCAUACGUAUGAAAGAUUUAAACAUAGAGAAGCCUCUUGUAUUGUAAGACAACUUGUAUUGAAACUGUUUUUUCAAAUCCAUCUGAUUGUUAAACUCGAAACUAUUUUCAAUCUUGCGUUGUUUAAGCUAUUGAUUUUUAUAUGCUAGAACAGACAAAUCUUUUAUCUGGAAAUUGUCAUCCAACUUUUUAAUUUAUUAAAUUUAAGCUUUUAAUUAAAUUUAAGCUUUUUAUCUUGAGCGAGUGUUAAUUGUUAAGCGGCUCGAUUUUAUUAAUCUGCCUAUUGUGUAUAAAUGUUUCACUUCUUAUUUUACUAUUUAAGCUUUGUAUUGUACAUAUAUGCUCUUGUAAUCGUGGUCAAAUGUUAACUUAAAUAUUUCCACAUGUACUGGAAAAGUGGAGAGUAUAUAUUCCACUUUCAAUUUAACAUUUGGUCACUUAACAUUUUCACUUAACAUUUGGUCAGUAAAAGUGGUAAAUUUUUUUGCAUUGAAAUUUCACUUGGUGAAAUUUAAAUGAAAUUAUCUUUGAUAAAAUACUAAAUUGAAAUUUUCAAACUUUGACUUUGUGUUCUGUAACAUACAUUUCUAAACCCGUGAAAGAGUUCUCCUGUGUAAUGUUCCUUCAAAAUGGAGUUUUCUUUUUACCAAUGAAUCUUGUAUAUAAUUUUACAAAACUGCAGCU